UACGGAGGGUGCGAGCGUUGUCCGGAAUCAUUGGGCGUAAAGGGCGCGUAGGUGGCCCCUCAAGCGUGCGGUGAAAGUCAGGGGCUCAACCCCUGAUCGGUCGUGCGAACUGGGGAGCUUGAGCACUGUAGAGGCAGGCGGAAUUCCGGGUGUAGCGGUGGAAUGCGUAGAGAUCCGGAAGAACACCGGUGGCGAAGGCGGCUAACUGGUCCGGUACUGACGCUGAGGUGCGAAAGCGUGGGGAGCAAACAGG
rnacentral:rRNA from 1 species